rnacentral:rRNA from 1 species
UACGUAGGCAGCAAGCGUUGUUCGGAGUUACUGGGCGUAAAGAGUGCGUAGGCGGUGCUCCAAGUCUGUUGUGAAAUCUCCCGGCUUAACUGGGAGGGUGCGGUGGAAACUGGGGUGCUUGAGUGUGGGAGAGGUAAGCGGAAUUCCUGGUGUAGCGGUGAAAUGCGUAGAUAUCAGGAGGAACACCAGUAGCGAAGGCAGCUCGCUGGGACGUUACUGACACUGAGGCGCGAAAGCGUGGGGAGCGAACAGG